AGCUGGGAUGUCAAUCAGGCAGU
rnacentral:piRNA from 1 species